AUUGAACGCUGGCGGCAGGCCUAACACAUGCAAGUCGAACGAGUGGCGGACGGGUGAGUAAUGUCUGGGAAACUGCCCGAUGGAGGGGGAUAACUACUGGAAACGGUAGCUAAUACCGCAUACCAUCGGAUGUGCCCAGAUGGGAUUAGCUUGUAGGUGAGGUACCGGCUCAGCUAGGCGACGAACCCUAGCUGGUCUGAGAGGAUGACGAGCCACCCUGGAACGGAGACACGGUCCAGAUUCCUACGGGAGGCAGAAGUGGGGAAUAUGGCACAAUGGGCGCAAGCCUGAUGCAGCCAUGCCGCGUGUAUGAAGAAGGCCUUCGGGUUGUAAAGUACUUUCAGCGGGGAGGCGUUACCCGCAGAAGAAGCACCGGCUAACUCCGUGCCAGCAGCCGCGGUUAUAC
rnacentral:rRNA from 1 species